rnacentral:rRNA from 1 species
UACGAAGGGGGCUAGCGUUGCUCGGAAUCACUGGGCGUAAAGCGCACGUAGGCGGCUUCUUAAGUCAGGGGUGAAAUCCUGGAGCUCAACUCCAGAACUGCCCUUGAUACUGAGGAGCUCGAGUCCGGAAGAGGUGAGUGGAACUCCGAGUGUAGAGGUGAAAUUCGUAGAUAUUCGGAAGAACACCAGUGGCGAAGGCGGCUCACUGGUCCGGUACUGACGCUGAGGUGCGAAAGCGUGGGGAGCGAACAGG